UGGGGAAUCUUGCGCAAUGCGCGAAAGCGUGACGCAGCAACGCCGCGUGGGGGAAGAAGGCCUUCGGGUUGUAAACCCCUUUCAGUUGGGACGAAGCUUCGCCGGUGAAUAGCCGGCUGGAGUGACGGUACCUUCACAAGAAGCCCCGGCUAACUACGUGCCAGCAGCCGCGGUAAUACGUAGGGGGCUAGCGUUGUCCGGAAUCAUUGGGCGUAAAGCGCGUGUAGGCGGCCCGGUAAGUCCGCUGUGAAAGUCGGGGGCUCAACCCUCGGAUGCCGGUGGAUACUGUCGGGCUUGAGUGCGGAAGAGGCGAGUGGAAUUCCUGGUGUAGCGGUGAAAUGCGCAGAUAUCAGGAGGAACACCGAUUGCGAAGGCAGCUCGCUGGGACGUGACUGACGCUGAGACGCGAAAGCGUGGGGAGCAAACAGGAUUAGAUACCCUGGUAGUCCACGCUGUAAACGAUGGGCACUAGGUGUGGGGGGUGUCGACUCCCUCCGUGCCGAAGCUAACGCAUUAAGUGCCCCGCCUGGGGAGUACGGCCGCAAGGCUAA
rnacentral:rRNA from 1 species